rnacentral:rRNA from 1 species
AGACAAAGUUUAACGGCCGCGGUACCCUAACCGUGCGAAGGUAGCAUAAUCACUUGUUCUUUAAAUAGGGACUCGUAUCAACGGCAUCACGAGGGCUAUACUGUCUCCUUUCUCCAAUCAGUGAAACUGAUCUUCCCGUGAAGAAGCGGGAAUUAUUGUAUAAGACGAGAAGACCCCAUGGAGCUUUAAACUCAAUAUAUACCUCUACGCAUUUAUAUCACUAUAGCCUAAGAAAAUUAUAUAUUAGUUUUGGGUUGGGGGGACCGCGGAGAAAAAAUUAACCUCCACGACAAAUAGGCCAACGCCUUUAUCUAUGAACCACAAUUCUAAGAAUCAAUAAACUGAUGUUUAAUGAUCCAAUUUUUUGAUCAACGAACCAAGUUACCCUGGGGAUAACAGCGCAAUCUACUUCAAGAGCUCCUAUCGACAAGUGGGUUUACGACCUCGAUGUUGGAUCAGGGUAUCCUAGUGGUGCAGCCGCUACUAAAGGUUCGUUUGUUCAACGAUUAAAACCCUACGNGAUCU